GCAACAUAUUUUUUGGACAUGGAAAAAUGAAACUGCGAGUACUGGUCCUGAGAAAACAGAUUUUCCGGUAUUGGAGAUAUUUAGGAGAAACGUG
rnacentral:lncRNA from 11 species